GAAAGUGAUCUGGCUGUAACCAUUAAUGGCCAGGAUUGAUUUAGCAGAUCUGGCCCCCUAAGCAGGUAUCUUUCUCUUCAUUUGCCACUCCAUGUGAAUCCUUCCUGGUAGAUUAUAAUGACCUUACUGCAAUGGGGGGGAUGGGUCGGGUCAAGGACAUACAAGUUGCUGCACACCCCUGCUAGAACCUCCAAGCAAGCUCUCAUCAAAGCAAGCUGUGCAAGCCAUGAAGAGCAAGCCAGUAAAGAGCUCCUU
rnacentral:snRNA from 1 species